UCCCGGUGGGUCACAACAAAACUUUUCAAAAACUUUAAAAAAAACUUAAGAAAAAAAUUUUUGUCCAAAAUGUAGACAGUACAGACCCGAAAGAGUGAAAUUAAUUCAGACCUAUUUCGCGUAAUACCUACUUCUCUCCUUCCCUGCUCCCCGCCGCACAGCCUGCCCACUUGCACAGCCCUCUGACUCACCGUGUUACCAUCACCGACCCUUAGGUCCACCUUCGAGACCGGCUCACAGACAGUCCACCGUCACCAGCUCUGCGGCUCACCUCACCGCCCGCCCAGCCCGCCCACUCUGCGGCUCGCCGGCUCACUGGAAGUCCACCGUCACCGCGCUCAGCUCUGCGGCUCUGCGAUACCCACUCUGCGGCUCACCUUCUCACCUCACCAUUCACCGUUCUUCAACACUUCCGACCCUCACCAUUCACCAUUCUUCAAGGUGGUGAAUAGGUGAAAUCUCCAAAGUUCUGAAUAGAAAGAAGUACAUUCUGCAAAUUUUCUUUUACAGUUGAUAAACGGGUUUGAGAUGUCACCAAGAUUGAUUCACGAAAAAUGGAUAACCUCCAAGGAAAGCAUCAAAUAGAAGGUCCUGAGCCCACAGAGAGUCAUGCUUACACGGACCUCUAUCACUUUGAUAAAUAGAAAACCAUUAUAGGAAGAAAUUGUCAGUCUCAUUGUAGCUGCUUCAUUUUUUUUUUGCAAAAAAGGAUGCAGUAUUCAGACCAAUCGUAGGAGCCACACCAAAAGAACACCCGUAGGCGAGAUUUCUGUAGCUUUUACUGUGUUUCAUGAACAUGCUUGAAAAUCAUUUAGCUCUGCUAAAUAGAAUAUGUGACCGAAAUAUCAGGAGAUUUCAGAGUUUGAAGAUGCCCAAGAGUGUGCCUGAUAGCAUUGCGAAACAAGCGCAGACUUUGAUUUAUAUUAAAUGUCUUCAUGAACAGAAAAUUGUAGCUUUGUGCCUCAGGUUUGGUGGUUGUUUGAUUGUAUACUGCCUACGUUCUAUUUGUAAUCUUAAACUGUUCUACUCCCUUUUUUCUUGGUUAAGACACAAUUGAGAUGUUAGCUUGUUGAUAUGUGUUGUAUUGGAUAUGCUGUUAUUCAAAAACUGAAAGUAUAUGGUCUUUCAUUUCAGCAACCUAAUAGAUUUUCGCAAAACAUAACGUCUAUUUUGCAUAUUUCGGUAGUCGCUGUCUUAACUAAUUACUAUGUUCUAAUUGUCCAUUAUACAUUAUGUCAUUUGGUUUAUACAGGGUUCUCUUUAAUUUUGGGGUCAUUUGGUUUUAAGAAUUGAAAGUAUUACAGGAUAAAUCGGUGAUCACAUGCAUAUUGAACAAUGCUGUAACUGAGCGUAUCAUAGUUGAGGAAACUGUAUUAGUGGUGUAGAUGGAGCUGUCCUUUAAUUAUGCAUGUAUCUGAUGUAUCUGUUCAGUUUCAAGAGUCUUCAAAUGACUGAUAUAUGCCACGCAAGUGAUUAACCGUGUUUCAAGAGUCUACAACUAAUAAUACUUGGAACAAUUGUUCUCAUGUUUAGGAGUUAUCGGACUUGGCAAGCCAACAACAAAGGAUCUCGAAAGUCUCUAAGAUGGAAAGAAAUUAUCGUAAGAUUUAAUUAGUUUGAUUAUUAUUUUUAUCGUAAUUCAUUCAUAUAUAUGUUAUUCUUUAAUUUAAUGUGUAUUAUAUUUGUAUCUUAGUGUUCUCACGAACCGGAAAUGCUUGAAUGUGGCUAUUACGUCAUGAAGUACAUGUAUCAAAUAGUUUUACUUGGAUUACAAAGUAUUAGUAAUGUGGAAGAGGUACGUGUACAUGUAUGUUUGUUAUUAUUUUAUCUCGGUUGUUACUAUAUAUGCGCUAGCUUUUAUCUAAGCUUUACUAAUUAAUACAUUAUUUUGUUGAAGUACAUAUAUUUUCACCAAACCCGUACACUCAAGAGGAGAUCGAUGAUUUUGGAGAAAAAUGGAGUAGAUAUUUUAUUAGUAGUUGUUUGUAGUCAUUUUCUAGUUUUCAGAGAUAGAAAUUAAACUAUAACAAAUCGUAGGUUAUUUUUUGGAAUACAAUUAUUUACAAUUGUACGUUAAACCAACUUUCUUGUUUGAAUUAAUACAAAAAUAUUUUCGCAA